UAGGGUUGAGUGGUUCCCACAGUGUAAUAGUAUUAAUCCAAAGGUUAGAAAUAAUCAAAGGGGUUGAUCUAAGGGCCAAAAAAUCGGAAGCACCAGAUCCACUAUGCUUCCGAUAGUAUAGUAGCUCUACUAUAUAUAUAUAUAUAUAUAUAUAGUCCGGCUACUAUGCUAUCGGUAGCACGGAGCGCUCCCUGCUACCAAGUUGUUUUCGAUAAUGCGGCUUCCAAAUCGACGAUCGGCUCCGUUAGACUUGAUCUACACUAUUGAAAGUAUUUGGAAACUAAAUUUCAGAUUUUUUCGACAUCAUGACUAGUGAUCAAAAGAUCUUAAAAUUGAUAAUUUUAAUGGCCGAUGUGGUGUGUUUGUGAGUUUAACGGUGUAAAACAAUCCAAAUGCGAUGAAAAUUUUAUAGAAAAUUCUUUUUACUAUUUAGAGUAAGAUCAGUAUAUCUGAUCUUGAAUUUAAAUCUUUUAUCAUCAUUUUUCAUAAGAUUUUUAUUUUCAGCCGUUCAAUUUUAGACUAUUUGUUUGAUAGGUAAAUGAUAUCGAAAAAUUAUGAAAUUUAGUUUCUAAAUACUUUCAAUAGUGUAGAUCAAAUCUAACGGAGCUGAUCGUCGAUUUGGAAACCGCAUCAUCGAAAAUAAUUUGGUAGCACGGAGCGCUCCGUGCUACCGAU
rnacentral:lncRNA from 1 species